rnacentral:rRNA from 1 species
CCUACGGGUGGCAGCAGUGAGGAAUAUUGGUCAAUGGACGAGAGUCUGAACCAGCCAAGUAGCGUGAAGGAUGACUGCCCUAUGGGUUGUAAACUUCUUUUAUAUGGGAAUAAAAUGUUCCACGUGUGGGCUUUUGUAUGUACCAUAUGAAUAAGGAUCGGCUAACUCCGUGCCAGCAGCCGCGGUAAUACGGAGGAUCCGAGCGUUAUCCGGAUUUAUUGGGUUUAAAGGGAGCGUAGGUGGAUUGUUAAGUCAGUUGUGAAAGUGAGGGGCUCAACCGUAAAAUUGCAGUUGAAACUGGCAGUCUUGAGUAGAGUAGAGGUAGGCGGAAUUCGUGGUGUAGCGGUGAAAUGCUUAGAUAUCGCGAAGAACUCCGAUUGCGAAGGCAGCUCACUGGACUGCAACUGACACUGAGGCUCGAAAGUGUGGGUAUCAAACAGGAUUAGAUACCCUUGUAGUC